rnacentral:rRNA from 1 species
CCGCCAGACUCCUACGGGAGGCAGCAGUGGGGAAUAUUGCACAAUGGGGGAAACCCUGAUGCAGCGACGCCGCGUGAGCGAUGAAGUAUUUCGGUAUGUAAAGCUCUAUCAGCAGGGAAGAAAAUGACGGUACCUGACUAAGAAGCCCCGGCUAACUACGUGCCAGCAGCCGCGGUAAUACGUAGGGGGCAAGCGUUAUCCGGAUUUACUGGGUGUAAAGGGAGCGUAGACGGCAGUGCAAGUCCGGAGUGAAAGCCCGGGGCUCAACCCUGGGACUGCUCUGGAAACUGUAAAGCUGGAGUGCGGGAGGGGCAGGCGGAAUUCCUGGUGUAGCGGUGAAAUGCGUAGAUAUCAGGAGGAACACCGGCGGCGAAGGCGGCCUGCUGGACCGUAACUGACGUUGAGGCUCGAAAGCGUGGGGAGCAAACAGGAUUAGAUACCCUAGUA